AUUAGAGUUUGAUCCUGGCUCAGGACGAACGCUUGCGGCGUGCCUAAGAAAUGCAAGUCGAGCGGGCAGUAGCGAUACUGUUAGCGGCGAACGGUCGCGUAACACGUAAGGAACCUGCCCCGGAGCGGGGGACAACGGGUCGAAAGGCCCGCUAAUACCGCAUGAGGACCUUCGGCCGCAUGGCCGGGGGUCGAAAGCCUUUCGGCGCUCCGGGAUGGUCUUGCGGCCUAUCAGGUUGACGGUGGGGUAACGGCCUACCGUGCCGACGACGGGUAGCUGGUCUGAGAGGACGAUCAGCCGGAUUGGGACUGAGAUACGGCCCAGACUCCUACGGGGGGCAGCAAUUAGGAAUCUUGCGCAAUGGGGGCAACCCUGACGCAGCGACGCCGCGUGCGGGACGAAGGCACUCGUGUCGUAAACCGCUUUUCUCGGGGAAGAAGGACGUGACGGUACCCGAGGAAUAAGCCCCGGCUAACUACGUGCCAGCAGCCGCGGUAAUACGUGGGGGGCGAGCGUUGUCCGAAGUUACUGGGCGUAAAGCGCGCGUAGGCGGCGCCCUAAGUUCGGGGUGAAAGGUCCAGCGCUCAACGCGGACAGUGCCCCGGAGACUGGGGGGCUAGAGUGCGGCAGGGGGGGGCGGAAUGGCUGGUGUAGCGGUGAAAUGCGUAGAUAUCAGCCGGAACACCCGUGGCGAAGGCGGCCCCCUGGGCUGACACUGACGCUGAGGCGCGAAAGCGCGGGGAGCGAACGGGAUUAGAUACCCCGGUAGUCCGCGCCGUAAACGAUGGCCGCUAGGUGUCGGGGGUAUCGACCCCCCCGGUGCCGUCGCUAACGCAUUAAGCGGCCCGCCUGGGGAGUACGGCCGCAAGGUUGAAACUCAAAGGAAUUGACGGGGGCCCGCACAAGCGGUGGAGCAUGUGGAUUAAUUCGUCACUAACCGAAGAACCUUACCCAGGCUUGACAUCCGGCGCACCGGGCCGAAAGGCUCGUCCCCCUCGGGGGCGCCGAGACAGGUGUUGCAUGGCUGUCGUCAGCUCGUGUCGUGAGAUGUUGGGUUAAGUCCCGCAACGAGCGCAACCCCCACCGUCUGUUGCCAGCGUCGAGUCGGGCACUCUGACGGAACCGCCCGCGCAAGCGGGAGGAAGGCGGGGAUGACGUCAAGUCGGCAUGGCCCUUACGCCUGGGGCUUCACACAUGCUACAAUGGGCGGCACAGAGGGCUGCGAUGCCGCGAGGCGGAGCGAAUCCCAAAAAUCCGCCCCCAGUUCGGAUCGCGGGCUGCAACUCGCCCGCGUGAAGCCGGAAUCGCUAGUAACCGCGGGUCAGCUAAACCGCGGUGAAUACGUUCCCGGGCCUUGUACACACCGCCCGUCAAGUCACCUGAAUCGUCUGCACCCGACGCCGGUGGCCCAACCCGCGCGUAGCAAUGCGCGUGGGGGGGAGCCGUCCAAGGUGUGGGGGGUAAGGGGGACUAAGUCGUAACAAGGUAACCAAU
rnacentral:rRNA from 1 species